GAUGUGCUGCCAAUGCUGUAGAAUCCCUUAUCUCUGGGUACACUGACCAUAUUAUGGAGCAGUGUGGUAUAUGUCUUCAGUUUCCUAGUCUGUGUGUCUGCUUGCCUGUGUCAGACACAGUGGGCCUUGAAGGAAACUUUGUCACAAACAGGCUUUUAGAAAUCAGUUUACCCUUGUCAUUGCCCUGGCCCAUUGUUCUAAUGCAUAUCUCCUUUACCAACAAGCCAAUU